AUGACAUAUAUCCAUCUAGCCAACAACUCUCUGACUGGGGUGGUUCCUUCUUUCAGCUCCAUGGCAAAUUUGGAGCAUGUAAUGUUGUACUCAAAUCAUCUAGAGGCUGGAGACUGGACAUUCUUCUCCUCUUUGGCGAAUUGUACACAUCUUCUAGAAUUUAACAUAGGUGAAAACAACUUGCACGGGGAUUUACUAGCAAAUUCCAUAGCAAAUCUGCCGAAAAGCUUGACCGCCCUAACUCUUCGGUCAAACAACAUAUCUGGCACAAUCCCCUUGGAGAUUGGAAAUUUGUCUAAUCUUAACAUGUUGUAUCUUGAUAGAAAUCUUUUCAUGGGGUCUGUACCUCCUACCCUUGGUCAGCUACACAACUUGGUUGUUCUUAGUCUACCACAAAACAACUUUUCUGGGGAAAUACCACCUUCCAUUGGCAGCUUAAAUCAACUGGAAGAACUUUAUUUGCAAGAAAAUGAUUUGAGUGGAAUCAUACCUGAAAGUUUAGGCAGCUGCCAGAAGUUGUUAGCACUAAACAUUUCUUGUAAUACCCUUGGUUAA
rnacentral:rRNA from 1 species